CCAGGCUACCUCUUAGAAGGUGAGAGGGAGUCAGAGGAAGAGUGCAAGCCCUGGAGUUUUAAGGCUGUUUGACUUAUUUUAGGUUAAGUUGAUAGACUCGGCUGACUUGAGGUGAAUAGAGAGACCAAUUUAGGAGAAAGCUGGGGCCUCUAGAGAGACUUUCCCAGGAGCAACUGACAGGGUGUCACUGUAAAACUGUGAUUCAGUCACCAGGACAACCCUGCACAAGAGAUUCUUGGGUUGCUCUGUUUUACAUCAAUGUAACUCCACUGGGAAUAUUCCUGUUUUACACCAUUGUAAUUGGACGCCAUUCGGCAAAGCAUGGAAGCAUGUGCUUAACAUGAAGCACAGGCAUCAAACCAUCGUUAUCCAGGAAAGAAAGAGGUGCAGAGCUUUUCUCAGCUACAGAAAAGCUUAAGGUCCCGAUUCUUCUCUCAGAACUGCAAUCAAAUACAUACCCUAGCAGACACGUCAGCCUCGCCUAAUAUAAUCUGGAAGGG